rnacentral:rRNA from 1 species
UGGGGAAUUUUGGACAAUGGGCGAAAGCCUGAUCCAGCAAUGCCGCGUGUAUGAAGAAGGCCUUCGGGUUGUAAAGCACUUUUGUCCGGAAAGAAAUCCUUGGCUCUAAUACAGUCGGGGGAUGACGGUACCGGAAGAAUAAGCACCGGCUAACUACGUGCCAGCAGCCGCGGUAAUACGUAGGGUGCAAGCGUUAAUCGGAAUUACUGGGCGUAAAGCGUGCGCAGGCGGUUUGCUAAGACCGAUGCGAAAUCCCCGGGCUNAACCUGGGAACUGCAUUGGUGACUGGCAGGCUAGAGUAUGGCAGAGGGGGGUAGAAUUCCACGUNUAGCAGUGAAAUGCGUAGAGAUGUGGAGGAAUACCGAUGGCGAAGGCAGCCCCUGGGCCAAUACUGACGCUCAUGCACGAAAGCGUGGGGAGCAAACAGGAUUAGAUACCCUGGUAGUCCACGCCCUAAACGAUGUCAACUAGGUUGUUGGGGAUUCAUUUCCUUAGUAACGUAGCU